GCCGCGACCCGUUGCCGGGGACGUCUAAGGCCCGGGCGGACUGGUACCCCGACGUCGUGCGCUUGCGCCGACGAAGGGGGAAACCUCCGGUGUCCUGACUGCCCUGCGACGGUCGUGCAGCAGAGGAGCAAUGCAUCUCUCUCUCGCGGCGUGCAAAAGGUCGGUGACCCACCCGACCCGUCUUGAAACACGGACCAAGGAGUCUAACAUGUGUGCGAGUCAUUGGGCGCACUAAACCCAGAGGCGAAAUGAAAGUGAAAGGAGGGUGCGGUUUCGGCCGUGCCCUCCGGGGCUGAUCCCUGACCGGCUGUUGCCGCUACAGUUCCCAUACCAAAGCGAGUUUACAAAAGGAGGUUCUGGCGGGGUGAGUCCCUUUCCCCCGUCGGCCUCUGGGCUCGUGGGUUCUCGGCGCGCACGGUGGUCCGGCUCCUUCACGGGAGUCGCCUGUACGCAGGGGGGCGCAGGCCCGGGACUUGCCAUUCGACGCCGCGCGCGAAUCUGUUGUUGGCCUCGCCGGCUUUGCUUGGGCUCUCGGUUGGCGCGCCGCGCGUCAGGCGGGCUUCGGGUGGGAGUCUCGUGCUCUCAUUCGGGUUCGUCCCGCGCGGUUUUGCCUUCCG
rnacentral:rRNA from 1 species